CAAGCUGUAUUGACCUUUACCUUGCUCUUGGAUAACAUCGGUGGCAUGGAGAGGGGACGCUGGUAUGCAUGGGUGGGUGACUGCUGGUCUUCCAUAAAAUAAACUUGCCCAGAGUUGUGCCUUAGAGGGUAACUUUAUAGGUGCAAUCCCAUGGUCAUUCAUAACUGAAGGGUGUCUUUAUCUUUUAUAGAUAGACAGA